rnacentral:rRNA from 1 species
AUGGAUAUUGAGCCGGCCAUUUCUAAGCCGCCAAGCCCAGCUAAGCCCGCUGAAGAUAAGACUGACGACGUCGUCGUCACCGGGUUUGGUUACACAACACCGGACAACCCCACUGUCUUAUCCAAGCACAGCGCCAAGGAAGAGAAAUCUGCUGAUGAUAAAGGCAAGUGGAAGGUAGACUUAGAGAGCUAUGCCCAGUUCAGUGCACAAGACACCCACUCUGGUUAUUUGAACCAUCUAUACACCAGCCGUGAUUUUGAAGCCGGCUUAGUCAAUUUGAUGAAGGAACGCUAUGAGGCUAAACUGACUGAGAAAAAUGCACAGCUGAAUGAUCUGAAGGCCAACAUUAAAACUCAGCAAUCUGAGACAUCCAAGGCCAAAUCAGAACUGAAGACUGCUUUAGAAAAAAUUGAGCAGCUGAAACAAAACUUCAACACUGACAAAGAUGGCCGGGAGACCAAAAAGGUAGCUCUAUUGAAGAGAGCAGAGGAUGCUGAAGCCACACUUAAACCGGUGACUGACGAGUUGUCCAGUUUAAGACACUAG